GCCGCGGAGCCCUGCCGCGGAGCCCUGCGGUGUAGCUUCUGAAGAGCCCCGCCGAGUCGGUUCCCGCGCGGCGUCCGGGCCCACCGUGGAGGGAAUGCAGCCUCUGCUCCGCCCACUCCGGAUUCUGGCCUAAAAGCGUCUAAGUCAGGAUCGUGAUUGAGGCAGUGCUUUACAUUACAAUUCAAUGCUCUCCAUAAAGCUGAGAUAUGCCCACUGUGGAGAGUGAAGCCAAAGUAAAAACCAGAGUUUGCUUUGAGGAAUUGCUUAAGACCCACCAUGAUCUCAUUCAAGAAAGAAAAAAACUGAAGAAAAAAAUUGGCAAAUCUGGAGAAAAAAUUGCACUUGAUACUGUUAGAAGCAAUCUUCAGAAAAGUAAAGAAACUAAAAGUGAUGAUGUCAGUUCUUCAGACACUACUAACCUAGAGAAGAGCAUGCCAGGCACUAAAAGCAAACUAAGGAAUUCCCAGUCAACACCUGAAAAUCCAGAUGAUGUUACUGUAGAGGAAGACAGGCAAUGGAAGGCAAGUAAAAAAGUUAUUAAAACGGUACUCCAGAUGACUGCACAAGGAAUGGAACUGGAAACUCCCAUGAAGAAAGUGGAUUCCACACAUCAGAAAGCACGUACCAAGUCACAGCCAGGGGUUGCUCAUCAGAAGAGCGAGAAGGCAGAUGAAGAAAGAGAAAAUAAUAAUGUAGAUGAGGAAGAAGAACUGAUGCAAGUAUACCAGCUCCAAGUAGCUGAAGAAAUGGCAAAGGAGAUUAAGAAGAAAAUAAGAAAAAAACUCAAAGAACAGUUGACUUACUUUCCCCUAGAUACUACUUCUUCAUUGCAUGAUGGCAAAUUGAACAGUGAGAAAAAAAUAAAGAAAAAAAAGAAAGUUCCAAUUUCAUCUAAAGCUGAAACAAGUAUAUCGAACAUCUCCAAUGACACAGGUGAAGGUGAACAAAAGAAGGGAUCUCCAGUUAAAACAGUUACCUCAGAUUCUCAUCAAGAUGGUAAAAUAAGCUCAAUGGAAGACAAUGUAGAAGACAGCAUGCAAGAUGACACAAAAUGCAAAUCAAAGAAAAAGAAAAAGAAGGCUAAAUCAGUUUCUGAUAAUAAUGAAGACACUGAUGGUGAUGGUGUUCAUGAAGUAACAAGCCGAGAUAGUCCAGUUUAUCCCAAAUGUUUGCUUGAUGAUGAUCUUGUCCUGGGAGUUUACAUUCAUCGUACUGAUCGACUUAAGUCUGAUUUUAUGAUUUCUCACCCGAUGGUAAAAAUUCAUGUGAUUGAUGAGAAUACUGGUCAGUAUGUCAAGAAAGAUGAUAGUGGACGGCCUGUUUCAUCUUACUAUGAAAAAGAGAGUGUGGAUUACAUUCUUCCUAUUAUGACCCAGCCAUAUGAUUUUAAACAGUUAAAAUCAAGACUUCCAGAGUGGGAAGAACAAAUUAUAUUUAAUGAAAACUUUCCCUAUUUGCUUCGAGAUUUUGAUGAGAGCCCUAAAGUCAUCUUGUUUUUUGAGAUUCUUGAUUUCUUAAGCAUGGAUGAAAUUAGGAAUAAUUCUGAAAUUCAAAACCAAGAAUGUGGCUUUCGGAAAAUUGCCUGGGCAUUUCUCAAGCUUCUUGGAGCCAAUGGAAAUGUAAACAUCAAUUCGAAACUUCGUUUGCAGCUGUAUUACCCACCUACUAAGCCUCGAUCCCAAUUAAAUGUUGCUGAAGUUUUUGAAUGGUGGUCAAAAUAUCCAAGAAAUCGUUAUCCAUCAACAUUGUACGUAACUGUAAGAGGACUGAAAGUUCCAGAAUGUAUAAAGCCAUCUUACCGUUCUGUGGUUGCUGUUCAAGAGGAAAAAGGUAAACCUGUGUAUCGUGAACGACACCACGAGACCAAUUCAGUAGAUGCCGAACCUGGACUAGAAGAUUCCAAGGAAGUGGUGAAGUGGAAACGACUACCUGGGCAGGCUUGCCGUAUUCCAAACAAGCACCUCUUCUCACUAAAUGCAGGAGAACGAGGAUGUUUUUGUCUUGCUUUCUCUCAUAAUGGAAGAAUAUUAGCAGCAGCCUGUGCCAGCCGGGACGGAUAUCCAAUUAUUUUAUAUGAAAUUCCUUCUGGGCGUUUCAUGAGAGAAUUGUGUGGCCACCUCAAUAUCAUUUAUGAUCUUUGCUGGUCAAAUGAUGAUCGUUAUAUCCUUACUGCAUCAUCUGAUGGCACUGCCAGGAUAUGGAAAAAUGAAAUAAAUAAUAGCAAUACAUUCAGAGUUUUACCUCAUCCCUCUUUUGUUUACACGGCCAAAUUCCAUCCUGUGGUCAAAGAACUGGUGGUUACCGGAUGCUAUGAUUCUGUGAUACGGAUAUGGAAGGUUGAUAUGAGAGAGAAUCCUGCUGUAUUGAUCCGACAGUUUGACACACACAGGAGUUUCAUCAACUCUCUCUGCUUUGAUAUUGAAGGUCAUCACAUGUAUUCAGGAGAUUGCACAGGGGUGAUUGUUGUUUGGAAUACCUAUGUCAAAGUUAAUGAUGUGAAACAUUCAGUGCGCCACUGGAGUGUAAAUAAGGAAAUUAAAGAGAGUGAGUUUAAGGGGAUUCCCAUAAGUUAUCUGGAGGUUCAUCCCAAUGGAAAACGAUUGUUAAUCCAUACCAAAGACAGUACUUUGAGAAUUAUGGAUCUCCGAAUAUUAGCAGCAAGGAAAUUUGUAGGUGCAGCAAAUUACCGGGAAAAAAUUCAUAGUACUUUGACACCAUGUGGGACUUUUCUCUUUGCUGGGAGUGAGGAUGGUAUAGUAUAUGUUUGGAACCCAGAAACAGGAGAACAAGUAGCAAUGUAUUCUGACCUGCCAUUCAAAUCACCCAUUCGAGACAUUUCUUAUCACCCACUUGAAAAUAUGGUUGCAUUUUGUGCAUUUGGGCAGAAUGAGCCAAUUCUUCUGUAUAUUUACGAUUUCUAUGUUGCCCAGCAAGAGGCUGAAAUGUUCAAACGCUACAAUGGAACAUUUCCAUUACCUGGAAUACACCAAAGUCAAGAUGCUUUAUGCACCUGUCCUAAACUGCCUCAUCAAGGCUCUUUUCAGAUUGAUGACUAUGUCCACACUGAACAUUCCUCAAUGAAGAUGCAACAAGUGAAACAGAGACUCGAUUCUGUCACAGAGGUGAUACGAGCUUGUGCUGCAAAGGUCAACAAAAAUCUCUCGUUUGCUUCGUCAGCCUCCUCGCAGCAGUCUAAGUUAAAACAGUCAGACAUGCUUGCCGCUCAUCACAUUCAACAUCAGUUUGGUUUCACUCAGACCGGGAUUAUCAGCAUGGAAAGAAAGCCUUGUAACCAUCAUGUAGAUACAGCACCAACGGUAGUGGCUCUUUAUGACUACACAGCGAAUCGAUCAGAUGAACUAACCAUCCAUCGCGGAGACAUUAUCCGAGUGUUUUUCAAAGAUAAUGAAGACUGGUGGUAUGGCAGCAUAGGAAAGGGACAGGAAGGUUAUUUUCCAGCUAAUCAUGUGGCUAGUGAAACGUUAUAUCAAGAAUUGCCUCCAGAGAUAAAGGAGCGAUCCCCUCCUUUAACCCCAAAGGGAAAAACCAAAACGGAAAAACCUUCAGCUCUUCAAAAGAGCUGGCAGUCAAACAUCAGGGGGUUUUGCAGCACAAGAGGAUGAUAGACUUCUGCAUGAAAUGCAAGAAGAACAAAUAGAAAUCGUCCCUGACCUAAGCUUGGUGAGGUCAAGAAACCUUUUCCAAGAAUUGAUUUCUAAAUUGAGUUUCAUGGAGGAAGGGCAUUCCUGGUAGGCCAAACAGAUCCAUACGAAGGCAUGGUGUACUGGGGCCACCACAAGUAUUUCAUCAUGGCUUGGGCUUGAGAUGCAAAGUUUAAAAAUAGAAAGUGCUGAACCUGAACAAGUGGACAGGAUUAAGAAGGUUCCUAUAUGGCAUGUUAAGAAGCUGGAUUUUAUCCUGUAAGAAGUAGGGAGCCACCGGAGGAUUUAAAGCAUGGAAGACAGCAUGAUCAAAUUGAUUGUUUCAAAAGCUCACUCUAGAGGUGCCUGGGUGGCUCAGUCAGUAAGCGUCCAACUCUUUUGGCUCAGGUCAUGAUCUGAGUUGUGAGACCAAGCCCAUCGGGCUCUGUGCUGGGUGUGGAACCUACUUAGGAUUCUCUUUUUCCCUCUCCUCUCCCACCCCCAAGCUCGUGUUCUCUCUCUCUCUCAAAAAAGGAAAAAAAAAAAACAAAAAACAAAAAAACAAAAGCAAGCUGACGUCAGAAGCUCUGAAAAAAACAGGGGAAAAGCAGCACUAAAGGAAGUAAGAGCAGGAGAAGCAAUAAUUCAAGCCAAACACAAUGAGAAACUAGGACCUGGUGACUAAAUCCAUGUGAAAAUAAAAGAAGAAUCUAGGUUUCUGAUGUGAACAUCUUGGGGCAUAAGAAUAUAAGCAACACUUCAAUUGGAGACUCACAAAGUUGACAGCGUCUUUGCGGCAGCCAAUUGCAGAUAUCUUGUGAGCAUCUAUGGAACUCAGGAGAGAUGUGCUGAAAACUCAGACUUUCUAGGUAGUUUUGAUAAACCAAAGUGAGUUUUCAGAAAAAAAAAUGUGUAUACAGAAUUUGCUAAAAACUGGCGAUUGCCAAAUCAUUUUAAAGAAAACUUGAGAUCUGGUUUCAUGGUAUUGAUUUGGAAGUCAUUAACCUAAACACACUGGUUAAAUACAUGGGAACAGAGGAAUAUAGAGAAUGGAAAGGACAAAGGGCAGAAGGUAAUUAGAGAUGUCAGCUUUUUUAAAAAGUGAACAGAGAGGAGAGAUAACAGGAGGGAUAUUGGCAUGAAAUGGCCCCCUGGUCCCUGCCUUUAGCAGUCAUCACUCCUCCAUUCUCCCACCUUUGAUCCACCUGUUCCCAGCCUACUGGAGAUGAGAUACUUUGCCAAAAUAGAAAUCAAGUCAUGUGACCUACUGGCUCAGAAAUCAUAGUUGGCUCAACAUUGUCUAUAAGGUCCAAAUCUCGUAAAUGUUUAUCUAGAUCCCACACCUUGAAAAUUGAAUUGAAUUCUGACCUACUUUUCAUCUUCUCAUCCUCCUGAGUAGGCUGCCCUGCAGACAUUCUUCAAACCUUUGCUCACCCUGUUUUCUUGAACUGUAGAGUUUUUUGUGCCUCUCCAAUUACCAGAAUUGCAAUUCAUCUCUUAAGAUCUUGCUAAAUGCUCCAUCCUCUGUGAAUACUUUUUUUUAAGAUUUUAUUUAUUUAUUCAUGAGAGACACACACACAGAGAGAGAGAGAGGCAGAGAUACAGGCAGAGGGAGAAGCAGGGAGCCCGAUAUGGGACUUGAUCCCGAAUCUCCAGGAUCAGGCCCUGAGCUGAAGGCGGCACUAAACCCCUGAGCCACCGGGGCUGCCCUCCUCUGUGAAUCCUUCUCAAAAACCUCAAGUUAAAAAAAAAAAAAAAAAAAAAAAAAAAAACCUCAAAUUACAAUUCAGGGCUUCUGUUCCUUUAUUUCCACACAUUUCCUUUUUUACCUUUAUCAUGUUUGUCCCUCUCUGCUUUGUUGGUUGUAUCCACAUCUUUCCCCAUUAUAUUAUAAACUCUUACAGUCUACUCAGCUUAUACCCCAGGAUGUGUAGCACAGUGCCUCACUUACAGCGUAGCGUUUCAUAAAUAUCUGUUGUUGUUGUUGUUGUUGUUGUUGUUUUAAUUAGUACUGAAAACUACAAAUCAUGAACCAAGGUGAAGACCUUCGCAUUUUGUUUUAUAUUUUUUAAAUCCAAUCUCACAAUCCCUCUUUUUUUUUUAAGAUUUCAUCUAUUUAUUCAUGAAAGACACAGAGAAAGAGGCAGAGACAUAGGCAGAGGGAGAAGUAGGCUCCCCACAGGGAGCCCGAUGUGGGACUCAAUCCCAGAACUGCGAGAUCAUAAUCCGAGUCAAAGGCAGACGCUCAACCACUGAGCCACCCAGGCACCCGGCGUUUUGUUUCAAAACUGUGUCUUCAUGUAGGGAAAUAUUUUGUCCUUAAGGAAAUGCAUCAUAAUUUACAUAAUCAAUUACAAAUAAUGAAUCCUAAACCAAAGAAUCAACAGCAAACAUAUGAAUAUAUAAAGUUGUAAAAUUGUGCUCCUGGAAACAGAGUUUUAGCAACAGAGGAAAUCUAGGCGAGCUUGUCUAGUCCAGUUGCCUAUAAACUCUCUUUUGUAGAAUCCUAUUCUUUAGGGCUCUGGGGAGUUGGGCUGGGAAGACAGGGUAUGCUAGACCACCAAACCUAGCUUCACUUAGAGUAAUUCUACAUUUAGGUGUUUAUAUAUAAGGCUCUCAAACAAAACUGUUCUGAAAAAGAAAAUAGUUUUGUUGUUAAAUCAGUUUGAAGAAAACAGAACUGUACCCUUCAAGCUACUUCUGUAAGCUUGGUGACUCUGGGCCUCCAUUUCCUCAUUUGUAAAAUACAAGAACAGUGCUACCGUAGAGUUCAUGCUUUUAUUCUGAGCCCCGUCUUGUUCAUUUUCAAGUGAAAAACAGAUCCCAAGAGAAGUUAAGUGGCUGUGCUCAUUAACAGAGAAAAUUAAUGACAGAGCCAAGACUGGAACUUAACCACCAGCUCUGGUGGGUGGUGGUUUUCCUCUUUUUUUAAAUUCCUUAAAGUGAGUAUAAGUAAAUUAGAGAUAUUAAUUAUAUGGGCAACGGAGAACUAUCAGAAGGUAUUAUAAACAGCAUGUAAAUAUAGAGUCCUACUGUAUCUUAAAUUUGCCUUAUUUAAAGCUCACCAGUGUGCUAGCUACAACAGACAUUGCUUGAACAUUUACCUAAUUUUACAUUCAUUCUUCAAGUUUACAGAAAAUUUUGGGUGAGUUGUUUGCAUGGCUCAUUUCUCUUUUACAGAACUAUUUAUGAGUUGUUUUCUUUGUAAAUCUCCAUGAAAGUGGAGGCACUUAAAAUCAUGCCAUUAAUCAUUACUUUCAUGUUUAAGUCUCACUGCAUCUAAAUGUAAAAGCAUCAUGGAGAAGCUGUGAGGGUUUGGGAAGCAGGAGCCUCUGGAUUCUGAUCCUUUCAUUCAUCUCCUUUGAUUUGCUCAUCUUCCCCUCUUCAUCCCCUCCUCUCCAAAUCAAGGGUAUCCGUGAAGAGGAAACAGAGUCACAAAAACUGAGAGGUGUGCGUGGACAGGAGGGAAAGAAGGGUAGUGGUGCUCCUUGGCCUUGUUGAUGGUGGGGGUGGUGCUUACGGGCUGAUUGUGUUCUAGCCUUGGGGGGCUUUUAUGUUAAAAGAAAAAAAUGAAACAAAACAGCUCACAGAGACACCUCCUUCUUCCCCCUUCCUUCUGCCUCCAUGAGUAACUACCCAUAUGACGUGCUGCUGCUGAGACCAAGGAAUGACAGCCAGUCAUUAAGGACAAGUCCCAGGAUUUCAGACUGGGCUCAGAGUCCAUGACACAUUCUGAAGUGGGCAAAGAGCAGAGCCGUGAGGACCAAGGACACAUAAUGGAUAUGCGCACAAAGAAAAAUGAGCAAGC